UUCAUGGAGAGUUUGAUCCUGGCUCAGGACGAACGCUGGCGGCGUGCCUAAUACAUGCAAGUCGAGCGGACCGACGGGAGCUUGCUCCCUUAGGUCAGCGGCGGACGGGUGAGUAACACGUGGGUAACCUGCCUGUAAGACUGGGAUAACUCCGGGAAACCGGGGCUAAUACCGGAUGCUUGAUUGAACCGCAUGGUUCAAUCAUAAAAGGUGGCUUUUAGCUACCACUUACAGAUGGACCCGCGGCGCAUUAGCUAGUUGGUGAGGUAACGGCUCACCAAGGCGACGAUGCGUAGCCGACCUGAGAGGGUGAUCGGCCACACUGGGACUGAGACACGGCCCAGACUCCUACGGGAGGCAGCAGUAGGGAAUCUUCCGCAAUGGACGAAAGUCUGA
rnacentral:rRNA from 1 species